rnacentral:rRNA from 1 species
CGGGGAGGUAGUGACGAAAAAUAACGAUACGGGACUCAUCCGAGGCCCCGUAAUCGGAAUGAGUACACUUUAAAUCCUUUAACAAGGACCAAUUGGAGGGCAAGUCUGGUGCCAGCAGCCGCGGUAAUUCCAGCUCCAAUAGCGUAUAUUAAAGUUGUUGCGGUUAAAAAGCUCGUAGUUGAAUCUGUGUGUCACAGUGUCGGUUCACCGCUCGCGGUGUUUAACUGGCAUUAUGUGGUACGUCCUACCGGUGGGCUUAGCUCCUUGCGGGCGGUCCAACUAAUCUCCCAUCGCGGUGCUCUUCACUGAGUGUCGAGGUGGGCCGGUACGUUUACUUUGAACAAAUUAGAGUGCUCAAAGCAGGCUACCUUCGCCUGAAUACUGCGUGCAUGGAAUAAUGGAAUAGGACCUCGGUUCUAUUUUGUUGGUUUUCGGAACCCCCGAGGUAAUGAUUAAUAGGGACAGAUGGGGGCAUUCGUAUUGCGACGUUAGAGGUGAAAUUCUUGGAUCGUCGCAAGACGGACUAAAGCGAAAGCAUUUGCCAAAAAUGUUUUCAUUAAUCAAGAACGAAAGUUAGAGGUUCGAAGGCGAUCAGAUACCGCCCUAGUUCUAACCAUAAACGAUGCCAGCUAGCGAUCCGCCGAAGUUCCUCCGAUGACUCGGCGGGCAGCUUCCGGGAAACCAAAGCUUUUGGGUUCCGGGGGAAGUAUGGUUGCAAAGCUGAAACUUAAAGGAAUUGACGGAAGGGCACCACCAGGAGUGGAGCCUGCGGCUUAAUUUGACUC